ACUCCUACGGGAGGCAGCAGUGGGGAAUAUUGGACAAUGGGCGCAAGCCUGAUCCAGCCAUGCCGCGUGAGUGAUGAAGGCCUUAGGGUUGUAAAGCUCUUUCGACCCGGACGAAUGACCCGCAAGGGUUUGAAAUAAGCGGGUAUAUGAAGCUGGCCAGCACACUACGUGCCAGCAGCCGCGGUAAU
rnacentral:rRNA from 1 species